rnacentral:rRNA from 1 species
AUUGAACGCUGGCGGCAGGCUUAACACAUGCAAGUCGAGCGGGGGAAGGUAGCUUGCUACCGGACCUAGCGGCGGACGGGUGAGUAAUGCUUAGGAAUCUGCCUAUUAGUGGGGGACAACAUCUCGAAAGGGAUGCUAAUACCGCAUACGUCCUACGGGAGAAAGCAGGGGAUCUUCGGACCUUGCGCUAAUAGAUGAGCCUAAGUCGGAUUAGCUAGUUGGUGGGGUAAAGGCCUACCAAGGCGACGAUCUGUAGCGGGUCUGAGAGGAUGAUCCGCCACACUGGGACUGAGACACGGCCCAGACUCCUACGGGAGGCAGCAGUGGGGAAUAUUGGACAAUGGGGGGAACCCUGAUCCAGCCAUGCCGCGUGUGUGAAGAAGGCCUUAUGGUUGUAAAGCACUUUAAGCGAGGAGGAGGCUACUUUAGUUAAUACCUAGAGAUAGUGGACGUUACUCGCAGAAUAAGCACCGGCUAACUCUGUGCCAGCAGCCGCGGUAAUACAGAGGGUGCGAGCGUUAAUCGGAUUUACUGGGCGUAAAGCGUGCGUAGGCGGCUUAUUAAGUCGGAUGUGAAAUCCCCGAGCUUAACUUGGGAAUUGCAUUCGAUACUGGUGAGCUAGAGUAUGGGAGAGGAUGGUAGAAUUCCAGGUGUAGCGGUGAAAUGCGUAGAGAUCUGGAGGAAUACCGAUGGCGAAAGCAGCCAUCUGGCCUAAUACUGACG